rnacentral:lncRNA from 1 species
GAAAGAGCAGCCAGUGCUUUCAAUUGCUGAGCCAACUCUCCAGCCCUGGAAUAAAGCCUUUUUUAUAGGUGAAAGGGCCAUGUGGGUAGUACUGGGAAAUAACUCUGUCAAGAUGGUAAAUUGAAAGCAGUGCCAUACCUCUGGGGCAUCGUGUUUUGUAAGAUCAAAGAGUGGUGAUUUCUUAUGUCCUCAUGGAAAAUCUUCUUAGGGCUACUGCAAAGUUUGUAAUGUAUGUUUCUAGUUUGUAAGGAGGGGACAGGUUUCAGUGUAUGCAUGCAGGCAUGCAUGUGUAUGUGAAAGUCAGUAGACAACUUUGGAUGCUGGUCCUCAGGACUUUCACUUUUGUUUGAGAGAGGGUCUCUCUUAUUGAUCUGGGACAUCCUCCUUCCCUCCUUGUUUGGUCACAGCGAGUCUCCCCUGCUCCCUUUCUUUCUCCAGAUUAGGCCAUGCCCCUACUGUAGCUCUUCUGCAUGGGUAGUUGAUGAGCAAGCCUGCUGUGGCCUAAUAGUGCCCCACUCCAUCUUCUGUAAGUGCAGUCCCACCCCCAUACCCAAACAAAAGACCACCUUGAAAUGCCUUGUGAUACUGGCAUGGUAGGCUUGGUCACGUGGCAUGGAACUCCCCCAGCCCUUAUACAGGUACAGGAUUCCCUUUGUUUAUCUGGAAGUGGAGUGUCUCCCUUCAGGACGCUUGUGUUGCUAUCAGUGGCGAUUGUCUCUCCUAAUGCAGCUCCUAGUUAUAUCUACACACAGAUUAGUAGGAAGUACCAUGAUGUCAUACGCAAAGAACUGAGGAUCAGAGUUUAAGGACAUCUCCCUUGAAUGCAGGUGAAUAAAGAGGCAGAGCUCUGCAUCCUUGAGCUGUACAGGUAUGUUGUGUCAUGUCCCUUUUGAAAUCAGAGGCAGAUAGAAUGUGUUGAGCACAUUUUUUUUCUAGAUUUUUCAAGACACUGGAGCCUGGGCAGUCAGGCAAAGCUGAGGUACACACGCUUUGCUCAGGAAAGGGAAAGACACUUUCAGAGGUGUUCUUAUUUGAUUUCUUCCUAAUCCAGCAGUAUCUCAUUGUUGUUAGAACUCUUAGACUACAUGUCUCUUUUAUCCAACCACUAGCCCCUUCCUGGCCUGGUAACUGGAGAUACUUGCUCAACUCCAAAGUCUAGAAGUCAGACUUUCUGUGUCAGGAUCAGCUGGCAGCAACAGUCUAUUGUCAUGUGGUCAUGAGUGCCGCAGACCCUCUGGGUCCCUUUGUCUGCGUAGGACAGGUCUCUGGGUGCAUAUGGGCAAGGAGUCAGCGAAAUGACAGACAGAUGCACACAGGAGAUUGUGUAGAAUCUGAAUGUAACAUCAAGUCGAGCAUUGAACUUUUUAUACAGAAGAAUAACAAGAAACCUGGCGAGUCACAGUGACACAAUACAAAAGGAAUGUAUACAUCAAAAGAAGGCGGAGACCAGGCUGCUGCCACAAAGAAGGGAGCCAGGUGUAAAGCUAGUCUAUUGUGAAGCCCACCACCAGGGGUUCUGCUCUAGCAGACCUUCUCAUGAAUAAUGCAAUACCACAACCCGCCUAUUUCCUGGGCCCUGAUAAAUUCUUGUAUGAGUGUAACUUUUAAGUAUCUGUGGAGAAUCUCCAUUUGUCAGAAGAAUUCACCAACUUGCUUCUAACAUGCAAUGUAGCCUGCUAUACCUGGCUGUACUGAAGAUUUCUAUCUCAGUGGGAUUCCCUAACUCUUACAUGGUAAACCCACCUAUUAGCUAGGCCAUUGUGUAUGGGUGAGACUGGCUACUGCCUCAAGUAAACACUCUGCAGACCAGCCCUGAGCUAUUCCAGCUUGGUUCUUUGUAAUGCUUAAUUAAUUUCACUGUCUCUACUAGAAGUAAAUUUGAAUGUUACUGAAUAGGUAACCUUCUCACUGAAUUCCUACUGAAUUCCCAGUUUUUCGGCUUCAAGGGUUUUCUGGGACGUUGGAACACUGGUGAAGGCUUAGCUAUGUAAGAAUUCAAUCU